rnacentral:misc_RNA from 1 species
GAUGAAGAACGUAGCGAAAUGCGAUAAGUAAUGUGAAUUGCAGAAUUCAGUGAAUCAUCGAAUCUUUGAACGCACAUUGCGCCCAUUAGCAUUCUAGUGGGCAUGCCUGUUCGAGCGUCAUUUCAACCCUUAAGCCCUGUUGCUUAGCGUUGGGAGCCUACAGUACUCUAGCUCCCCAAAGUUAGUGGCGGAGUCGGUUUCACACUCUAGACGUAGUAAUUUUUUCUCGUCUGUAGUUGAGCCGGUCCCCUGCCGUAAAACACCCAAUUUAUCAAGGUUGACCUCGGAUCAGGUAGGAAUACCCGCUGAACUUAAGCAUAUCAAUAAGCGGAGGA